GACGAACGCUGGCGGCGUGCCUAAUACAUGCAAGUAGAACGCUGAAGAGAGGAGCUUGCUCUUCUUGGAUGAGUUGCGAACGGGUGAGUAACGCGUAGGUAACCUGCCUUGUAGCGGGGGAUAACUAUUGGAAACGAUAGCUAAUACCGCAUAACAAUGGAUGACACAUGUCAUUUAUUUGAAAGGGGCAAUUGCUCCACUACAAGAUGGACCUGCGUUGUAUUAGCUAGUAGGUGAGGUAACGGCUCACCUAGGCGACGAUACAUAGCCGACCUGAGAGGGUGAUCGGCCACACUGGGACUGAGACACGGCCCAGACUCCUACGGGAGGCAGCAGGAGGGAAUCUUCGGCAAUGGGGGCAACCCUGACCGAGCAACGCCGCGUGAGUGAAGAAGGUUUUCGGAUCGUAAAGCUCUGUUGUAAGUCAAGAACGAGUGUGAGAGUGGAAAGUUCACACUGUGACGGUAGCUUACCAGAAAGGGACGGCUAACUACGUG
rnacentral:rRNA from 1 species